rnacentral:rRNA from 1 species
GACGAACGCUGGCGGCGUGCUUAACACAUGCAAGUCGAACGGAAAGGCCCUGCUUUUGUGGGGUGCUCGAGUGGCGAACGGGUGAGUAACACGUGAGUAACCUGCCCUUGACUUUGGGAUAACUUCAGGAAACUGGGGCUAAUACCGGAUAGGAGCUCCUGCUGCAUGGUGGGGGUUGGAAAGUUUCGGCGGUUGGGGAUGGACUCGCGGCUUAUCAGCUUGUUGGUGGGGUAGUGGCUUACCAAGGCUUUGACGGGUAGCCGGCCUGAGAGGGUGACCGGCCACAUUGGGACUGAGAUACGGCGCAGACUCCUACGGGAGGCAGCAGUGGGGAAUAUUGCACAAUGGGCGGAAGCCUGAUGCAGCAACGCCGCGUGCGGGAUGACGGCCGUCGGGUUGUAAACCGCUUUCGCCUGUGACGAAGCGUGAGUGACGGUAAUGGGUAAAGAAGCACCGGCUAACUACGUG